AGCUAUAUAUUAAAGAGAUUUAUUUAUAUAAAUAGGUUUGCUAGCUGAUUGUGUAUAUACGCAGGCCAAUGCUUCUAAUUUCAUAGCAAGCUCGCUUGCUAUGAAAUAGGCAACCAGUAAUAUAAGCAAGUGUGUGCUAUUUAUAGCGCUAGCCUACAAACCUAUAAUUAUAUUAACUCUAAGAGAAAUUUAAUAAUAAACGAAGUGAAUUGAAAUAUCUUAGUAACUUUAGGAAAAGAAAUCAAAAGAGAUUCUAUGAUUAGCGUGAGCUAAAAUAGACUAGCCUAAAAAGUCAAAUGGUGGAUAAACUGUUUAAAUUAAAUGGGGAACCUUCCUCAAAGGCUAAAUAUAAUGUAUAAGCGAUAGUGGAAAGUACCGUGAGGGAACCAAAACAAAAACAGUGAUUUUAUAAGCAGUUCGGGAAAAUAAAAAAAAGUUAGAACGUACCUUUUGCAUAAUGGGUCACCAAGUUAACAUUAGAUGCGAGUAGGAGGCUUUGCCCAUACAUACGUAGUUAAACCGAGCGUUAAAAUAACGGUAAGUAUCUAAAGUUAGACCCGAAGCCUGGUGAUUUUACCAUAAUCAGGAUUAUAAAAGUCCGAACGGAAUAUUGUAGCAUAAAUAUCCGAAGAAUUAUGGUAGGUGUAGUGAAAGACAAUACUGACCAGGAUAGCUGGUUUUCUGCGAAACCUAUAACAGUAGGCAAUUUAAGUAUAAUAUCUUAGCAGGUACAGAAUUUAAUCUCAGACAAGACAUAAGGCUUAGCUUGCUAGCAAGUAAAGCUCAUGUUUUAUUUUGUACAAAUUGGGGGAUCAUGAAGAUUUUAUCAGUGAGUAUGUAGACUCGGAAUGGCAAAGAUAUAUCUUAAAUCAUCAGACAUAGAAUGAUAAGGUUGUAUGUCAAAAGGGAAACAGCCCAGAACAAGAGUUAAGGUUCCUAAAUUAUUAGUUGAGUGAAAUUAAGAAGGUUUUUAUUAAAGUCGACAAGGAGAUAGGCUUAGAAGCAGCCAUAAUUUUAUGACCUCGUAACAGAGCGCUUGUUAAGUUUUAAAAGCAUCGAAAAUUUAUCGGAUCUAAACAAUAUACCGAAACCUUGUCCAUAUUAUUUUAUAAUUAAAGCUUAAUUAUAAUUAAAUGGGGUAGCAGAACGUUGAGCUAAAUUAAGAUUUUUAUUUUUUAAAUGAAAUUAUAAUAAUUUAACUCAAGUGAUAAUGGUGACAUGAGUAACUAAAAGAAAAAAUAAAAUUUUUCCGCCUAAAGCUUAUGGAUGUAAUUAAGUAACGGCCUCUAAGUUUAUAUUAUCUAAAGAUUUAAACGAUGAGAUAAUCUUUUGUACUAAGGACGACAUUUUAAGUGAAAAAUGUACUGGAAAAAUAGUACUAAAUUAAUGGGUAUAGCUAAUUAGUUAGCUAUAGCUAUAAAUGAAAAGUAACCGUACCUAGAAUCUGAAACAAGUAAGCUAGUAGAGAAUACGAAGGCGUAAAUGAGCUAACAAUCAUAAAGGAACUCGGCAAAUUGACUACCGUAACUUCGGGAUAAGGAGAGCUCAUUAUUCUUGAUUAAUAUCAGGUAAAGAGGAAGAAGCAUGAAAUAGUGUUGUACGACUGUUUAAUUAAAACACAGCACUUUGCUGAAAGAUUAAAAAUCUAAGUAUAGAGUGUGAUGUCUGCCCGGUGCCGGCUGGUUAACAGAUAUAAUUAAAUAUACUAAUAUUUGAUGUAGACGGAAACCCCGGUUAAAGGCGGCCUUAACGUGAGGGUCCUAAGGUAGCGAAAUGCCUUGGCCGUUAAAUGCGGUCUUGCAUGAAUGAUGUAACGAUACAACAGCUGUCUCUAUGAUUGACUCAGUGAAAUUGGAAUAGCUGUGCAGAUACAGUUUACCUCUAGUUAGACGAGAAGACCCUAUGCAGCUUUACUGUCACUAAUUAUAGAGUAUGAUAAACAAUUUUCAGAUUAUAAGGUAAUUGACGGCUAGCUUGUUCAGCAAGCUAGCUCUAUGACAAUGAGAAUCCUUUAUUUUUUUUUCAUAUGAAUGAAUUGGUUUAGGAUUAUGAGUAGGUAGCGGCUUCUGCUACUUGGCGUAAGCAUUGCUUGCGUCAGGUGUCUGAAGUAUGCAUUCCAGCUCAUGCAUAGUAAAUCAACCUAAUUCAGCUUAUUUUCCUUUCUGCCAUAAGCGCAUAAUGAUAGAUUUAACUUAAAUUUUGAUUUAUGCCAGCUGCAGAAAUAGAUAAGUACCCUUGGCUAAGGAACUAUCGCUAGGGGACAGUUUAUGUGGGGCACAGACCCUGUAAAGAGUAAACAGGAGUGUCUAAUAAUUUAUAAUUAUUUUGUUUGCGAUUUAAGAUAGUGAAACUAUUUUUAAUCAUAUAAAAUUAUUUAUAUGUACAUUCGUUGUAUAUAUAUUUAAAAAAAGGUAGGAUUUUCACUAUAUAGAAAUUAGAGAUAAUAAAAAUAUUAAGAAUAUACGUUUCAGGCUGGGAGGGGCAAGCUCCUCCCUUUGAAAGGUAGCACUAAUAUUUUUUAGCUAUUAAGACAGGCUAUCAAGCUAGGCUCUAAUAGUUAUGUAUUAAUUAUCUAAAAAGCUCAACGGCUAAAUCUUGCCUUACUGUUUGAUUAUCAACAAAUCUUACAGUUGCGUAAGCAGGGCAUAGGAUCACAAGAUGCAACAAGGAAAGAUCUUGGAUUAUUGGAAAAGCUACGCUAGGGAUAACAGGCUAAUUUGCGCAAGAGUGUACAAAAUGAGUGCGCGGUUUGGCACCUCGAUGUCGGCUUAACUUAUCCUCAUGGAUGCAGGAACUAUGUAGGGUGCGACUGUUCGUCGAUUAAAAAGUUACAUGAGCUGGGUUAAAUACGUCGUGAGACAGUAUGGUUUCUAUCUUCUAGGGGGAAUUAGAAUAUAAUAAGAACUAACUUUUGUACGAAAGGAACAAGAAGAAUUUAAUUUGUAAAAGGGUUAAAUAAUAGUUACUAACCUAUGGUUUACCUGUUGUCUAUGUGCCCAAAUAUUAAAAUAUAUAUGGAGGAAGCUCCUUAAGAGCUUCCCCCGCAAAUUAUAUAUAUCUGUAUAGCUAGCCUGCGGACUCCGGUUAUGCCUGAGUUUGGCAAGCUAAAGCUAUACAUAGGGAUGUUUCUUUCACUAAGAUAAAUAUAUAGCAUAGGCACGGCAGGAAAGCUAAGUUGGUUAAGGAUAAGUGCUGAAAGCAUAUAGGCACGAAGCUUAUCUUAAGAUAUUUCUUAAAUAUACGUAAAAUAUUAUUACGAAGGAUGUAAUAUAGGCUUUAUCCGUACGAAUCAGGAGAUUUUUAAGAAUAAAGUACUAAUUUUAUAAAUAACUAUUUAU
rnacentral:rRNA from 1 species